rnacentral:rRNA from 1 species
AACGCGAAGAACCUUACCUGGGCUCGAAAUGUACAGGAAUCCGGUGGAAACAUCGGCGCCCCGCAAGGGGCCUGUAUAUAGGUGCUGCAUGGCUGUCGUCAGCUCGUGUCGUGAGAUGUUGGGUUAAGUCCCGCAACGAGCGCAACCCUUACCUCCAGUUGCUACCAUUUAGUUGAGCACUCUGGCGGAACCGCCUCGGAUAACGGGGAGGAAGGUGGGGAUGACGUCAAGUCCUCAUGGCCUUUAUGUCCAGGGCUACACACGUGCUACAAUGGCCGGUACAAACCGUCGCAAACCCGCGAGGGGGAGCUAAUCGGAAAAAGCCGGCCUCAGUUCGGAUUACAGUCUGCAACUCGACUGUAUGAAGCUGGAAUCGCUAGUAAUCGCGGAUCAGAAUGCCGCGGUGAAUACGUUCCCGGGCCUUGUA